rnacentral:rRNA from 1 species
AGAUUGAACGCUAGCGGGAUGCUUUACACAUGCAAGUCGAACGGCAGCGCGGACUUCGGUCUGGCGGCGAGUGGCGAACGGGUGAGUAAUAUAUCGGAACGUGCCCAGUAGCGGGGGAUAACUACGCGAAAGCGUGGCUAAUACCGCAUACGCCCUACGGGGGAAAGGGGGGGAUUCUUCGGGACCUCUCACUAUUGGAGCGGCCGAUAUCAGAUUAGCUAGUUGGUGAGGUAAAGGCUCACCAAGGCGACGAUCUGUAGCUGGUUUGAGAGGACGACCAGCCACACUGGGGACUGAGACACGGCCCAGACUCCUACGGGAGGCAGCAGUGGGGG